rnacentral:tRNA from 1 species
GGACACGUGCCUGAAUUAAUGGGCCACCUUGAUAGUGUAAUAAUAGAGGUUUAAAUCCCCUCGUCUCCU